UUCGGGUGGGGGAGGAAAGUCCGAGCAACGCAGAGCACCGCGCAAGUUAACGGCUUGAUAUUCGUGAGAGUAUAGAAGUGUAGAAGAAAAUAACCGCCAUCUUCGGGUGGUAAGGGUGAGAAGGCGGGGUAAGAGCCCACCGCGAGGGUAGCAAUACUCCUCGGCAGUACACCUCGUGGGUUGCAAGACCAUGUAUACCGACAAUUAAGGGCUGCUCGUCCAAUGUCGGGGGGUAGGUUGCUAGAGACGGCGAGUGAUCGCCGUAGUAGAUAAAUGAUAGAGGCUCUGCCGCAAGGUGGAGUACAGAACUCGGCUUAUAGCG
rnacentral:RNase_P_RNA from 1 species